rnacentral:tRNA from 1 species
AAAGGUUUAGUUAAAUAAUAACGCUAAUUUGUCAAAUUAUAAUCACCCAAAGGUAACCUUUA